AUGUCCACCUUGUCGCUGGAGACCAGCUCGUCGACCUACUCUAACAUGGAAAUGAUAUGUGCCAAGAAUCUGGUGUUCUGCAAGUGUCAGCUGUAUCAAACCUGGAGGAAUGAAGCCAACACAGUUACUUUGCAGCUCCAAGGAUGCGGUCGACGCCGUAUGGCACAGGAUGAAAUAUUUGCUCUGAGGUAUGAUCCCCGGCGCCAGCCAUGUUGGGACGUUGUUGCCGACUUGGGUGGAUACUCAGUGUUUGUUGGUAGGAACAAUUUGGUGUUGCUGUAUGCCGAAGGUGUUCCGGACUCCAGGGUAAUUGUGUGUACUGCAUCUGUGGGAGAGGUAGGAAUGAAGGCAUGGUCUUUGGCAUGA
rnacentral:rRNA from 1 species